rnacentral:rRNA from 1 species
UGCCAGCAGCCGCGGUAAUACGGAGGGUGCAAGCGUUAAUCGGAAUUAUUGGGUGUAAAGCGCACCUAGGCGGUUAAUUAAGUUCAAAUUCAAAGCCUAAAGCUCAACUUUAGAAAGAGUUUGAAAACUGAUUUUCUAGAGUACCAAAGAGGAUAGUGGAAUUUCUCGUGGAGAGUUCAAAUUCAAAGAUACUAGAAGGAAGACCAAUGGCCGAGGCAACUAUCUAGUUGGUUACUGACGCUCAAGUGCGAAAGCAUGGGGAGCAAACAGGAUUAGAUA